rnacentral:rRNA from 1 species
UACGGAGGAGGCAAGCGUUAUCCGGAAUUAUUGGGCGUAAAAGCGUCCGCAGGUGGCACUUCAAGUCUGCUGUCAAAGACCGGGGCUUAACCCCAGAAAGGCAGUGGAAACUGAAGUGCUAGAGUGCAGUAGGGGUAGAGGGAAUUCCCGGUGGAGCGGUGAAAUGCGGUAGAGAUCGGAAAGAACACCAACGGGCGAAAGCACUCUGCUGGGCCGACACUGACACUGAGAGACGAAAGCUAGGGGAGCGAAAUGGG